ACUGAGCCCUCUCCUUAUUGCACCCACCUUCCUUUCCUAGCACUGAAAAAUCAACCUGCUAAUAAGGUCUCUGUUUCAUCUAAAAUCCUAUGAGACUCUUCCUAAAGCAGUGGUUCUCAACCUGUGGGUCCUCAGGUGUUUUGGCCUACAACUCCCAGAAAUCCCAGCCAGUUUACCAGCUGUUAGGAUUUCUGGGAGUUGAAGGCCAAAAUAUCUGGGGACCCAUAGGUUGAGAACCACUGUGGAACUAAAGACUUCUCUAGAACUAGAGUACGCUUGUUCACCCUCCAACAUCAUAGAGCUAUUGCAGUUGCUACAAAAUUUAGGUAGCAGUGAAAUGGAGUGUGACCUCAGAAGGACUGUGGGAGUCCAAUGCAACCUCCCCAAACUGAAGAAACGACCGUCUCUAAUUUGAAAGCACUUUGUCAUUAAUGGUAGAAAGGUGCUCAUUGGUUGCUUCUUCACCGCAAAGCACUGCUGAAGAGGUGUAACUUCAGAGAUGUUGUCUUCUUUGAGUGUCUUACUUUAGAGAAUUCAAUUUACAACAUAGUGAUCUAUGAGAAGUAAUAGUAAGUAAAUUCUGCAAGCACUCAGGCAUCCCAAUUGCAGCCUACAGAUACUUCGGUUGCGCUGCUGUAACCUCCAAUCCAAGUCAUGCAUGAAAUUAGCUGCUGUCAUUCUAAAACCAGAACCUGAGAGAGCUCUACUUGAGACUUUAACAAUAUAGAUGGACUGACAAAGCUCUGUGAAAUACUGAUACAUCUUGACUGCAAACUGCAGGU